GGGUAAGUUAGUACCUUAGAGUAUCAAGAAACUUUUAAAAACCUUUCUAAGCUUUAAGGCUACUUCGCUUAGGAACCAGUCUUUUACGGGUAGACUCACACCUUAGAGUAUCGAGGGCACUCUUAAGAACCUCUAACUUUUACGGGUAAGUUAGUACCUUAGAGUAUCAAGGAACUCUUAAAAACCUCUGAAAUCUUUCAAGGUAGACUCGACCUAAGAGUUUUCCCGGAAACUCUAUAAAAUUAAACUAGAGCUUUAUGGUUGAGCUCAAAAACCUUCUCUCACACUUUGGUACUAUUGAGACA
rnacentral:lncRNA from 1 species